AUGAGGACGCCAAGGCAAGCAUCCGUGCCCAGUGCGCGCACCCCACUGCGAGAGAGCCACGCGUCGAGCCACUCACUCAUCCGCAACCAUGAAGGACGGCACACACGACGCUGCGAGGGCACAGUGCAUCACCUGAAGCAGCACAAAGGUUGUGGAGGAGCAACUCCACCUUGCUGCUACAAUGUUUACAGCACAAGUGUUGAAGGAACAACUUCAACAUGCUGCGCUAGAUAUCGAUUUAGAGGCGAAUGUAGGCUGAUAUGGCAGCAAGAGUUCAAUCCAGAACUCCUAGAGCACAAGAUCUACUCCAAGAUCUUAGAUAAGAACAACAAGUUCUAUUAUAGGUAG
rnacentral:rRNA from 1 species